AUGACACCCCCGAGCCGCUCAAUAAAGGAGAACCCGGGCAUGCUAACGGCCGUCCGUGCCUGCGGCGUCCGAGCCGGGGCGGCGGCAGGGCGGCGGCCGGCUCUGCGGGCCUCGCGGGGCGGGCCGGGCCCCCCAGACCGCUCCCACGGCAGGUGCCCCGUGCCCCCUUGGGCAACCUCCAGCCGGCCUCCCUGCGGCCCCGAGUCCUGGGGCGGCACCGCCCGCAGGGGCAGCACCGCCCGCAGGGGCAGAGCCGGGGUGGGGGGUUGGGGUCGGGCCCGCGAGCCCCCCCUCCUCCCGGGCCGGCCCCGCGGGGCUGAGCGCCCGCCAGCCGGACGCGGGGUGCACCGCAGCCCGGCCGCCUCGCCUCCGGGCACGGACCGGGUCUGUGCCGAACCGACCCCGAGAGGCCGCGCCUGGCUGCCGUCGGGCUCGCGUCCCCAGCGGCCUCCUCGGGGGCUCCCGUUGGGAACGAGCCCCGGCCCGCAUCUGGGGGAUCGGGUCUCGGCGGGGCCCGCGUCGCGCCGCACGGGUCUCCGGGAGGACACGUGCCCCCCGAGGACCCUGGGGCGUCGCGGCCGCGCAGCCGCAGUCCGUGCCGGGGGUCCCUGCGGGGCCCGACCACGCCGGGGGGCGGCAGGGCGCACGCGGCGGGCAGGCGGGGCGAAGCUGCCCCGAGGCGGAGCGCAGCAGCCGAAGCCCCGGCCGCCCGCCGCCCCCGACCCACGAAGUCGGUCGCACCGGAAGCACUCGGCCACGGCGCCGCGCGCGACGAUGCACUUCCGGCCUGAGGAGGCCGCUGUGCUCGCGACUCCCAGCAGGGGGCGCUGGGGGCCCGGGAACGCGGCGCUGGCCGUUAGCCCUCGAGCAUUCUGGGAGUCGCCGCGGUGCCUCUUCCUCCCCCCUCUUUUCUCUACUGAAUUCCGGCUCUUAGCGGGACGAAAGCCGUCGUUUCCGGGGAGGAAGGGCUCAGAAGAAAAGCGCGGGCGCAUGCGCAGGGGCCACGCUACCCGACGGGCCUUGGGAGUGGCGCCCCAGUGCCUUGUGGGAGAUGUAGUUCUCCGAGUGCGGACGCCGCCGGGCUGGGCCGGCGGAGGACUCGGUUUCCCAGAAGGCGGAGCGCAGCUCAAGAUGGAGCCGGCCUGGCCGCGGCGGUCCGGUAGGUUUGCGGCGAGGGAGUCCGGCGCGGACUAGCAGCGGCGCCUCUGGGAGGUCGCUGUCCGCAUCCUGCCCCGCCCGGAGCCGCCCCCGUAGUGCGGCGCGUCUCCGGCCCCUCGUGGGCUGGGCCCUGGGACCCCGAGGCUUGUGAAGCCUGGACGCUGUCCGGCCCAGGCCCCCGACCGAGCGGAGGAAGCCGGGGGCGCGCGUCCCGGGGCAGCCGGUGGUUCCGCCUGCCGGACGGGGCUCCGGCCGCCGAGCUCCCGAAGCUCGCGGAGAGCCCCGGGAAACGUCCUGAUGGCUCCUCCUGCCAUCGGGAUGGCGCAAGGCGCUGCCCCCUCGUCCCCCCGGCGCGGCCCGGCUCCGGCUGCUGCUGCUGGUCGCGGGGCCUUCCCGGCGGCGCGACUUCGGCGGGCAGGGGCUGGCUGCAGCUCCGGCUUCGCUCGCGGCGUGCUGCGCUCCGGCCCAUGGUCUCUCCCUCCCUGGAACACGUGGGGUGCUCCCGUUCCCUCGGGAGGUGCUCCCUCGCUUGGGGACUCGCGACCCAGAGCACUGGCGGUCUCGUCUGUGUUUGGUCAGCCGCGGGGCACCCGCGGCCGCGCCUGGCCCACCUGCCGGGUCCUUCGUGGGCGCUCCGCAGCGGGUCACCCUGGGCCAGGGCGGCUUGGUGGAUGGAUGGGUGAGGCCUGGCUGUCCCCUGAGCCCGGAAAGACAAGCCCGCUACAGCUGAGCCGCUGGACGGCGCCGGGA